CUCACUUGCGGCGCCACAGCGUCUUUCGGUUGUUUUUAUCUUCGUCCGGGGUUUUAGCUCUUUCUUUGUCGCCAAAACCUUGACAACCUUGAGCUUCACUAAUGGACUGUCUGAGACCCCCAACCCCGGUAACCCAUCAUGGCUUCCAUGGUACUUCAUUCUUCACAACAAAUUUCUCUUUCAGAACUUGCAACUGGAGAAACCCAGAUAGAUUUCACAAGCGCCUCUCGUUUUCGUUCUGUUCACCCUUCUAUGCCACGACACGUUUGCGGGUUUCAGCCCAAUUCGGACGAUCCACUACUCGUCGAAACUGGCUCCGGAAAAAGCUCCUUGAAGAUCAAAAGGUGCGUCUAAAUCCCACUUCCUUGAACCCAAGUCCUGAUCCUCAAGUUUACCAUAAUGUUGAAAUUCUUGGUAAGAAUUUGAGUGGUCACAGUGAAAAUCAGAGAGAUUCUUGUUAUAAUGUUGUUGAUUCAAGUAAUUUGGGUGAAUCUGCUUUGUUAGUUAAAUUGGAGAAUUGGGUUGAACAGUAUAAGAAGGAUGCAGAGUUCUGGGGAAUUGGCCCUACUCCUAUUUUUACUGUUUUUCAAGGUCUUGAUGGGAAUGUUGAGAGGGUUGUGGUUGAUGAAGAUGAAAUAUUGAGUAGGAGUCCAGUUGGGAGUGGAGAAUUUGAGGACUUAAGAGAAGUGAAUUCUAAGAUUUUGUAUGCAAGAAGUUUAGCUCAAAAGAUGGAGAAGGGGGAAAGUGUUAUUUCCAGGAAUAGUACCAUAGUCAAGUUUGUUUCGUCCACCGAGAAGUCUGAUUUUACCAGUACCAUUGGUGUGGAUAAUGUUAUUCCAAGGGAUGAUACCGUAACUAAACCUGUUUCAUCGAGUGAGAAGUCGGAUUUUACUAGUUCAAUUCGCGGUGUAGUUCUUAGUCCCAACUUUGUACCAAAACUCUUAAAAUUCGGGAGUAUUGUGUUGUGUGGUCUUAUUGUGUUUGGGGCUGUGAAAAAAUUACUCUCUUUUGGAAAUAAGGAGGAGCAACUCACAGAACAAGAGGAGGAGACACUGGAAAAUCCUAGAGUGGAAGUUGUUCAAGAAUCACCAGAACCACCAAUAGUUUCCUUCAAAAAGCCUAAGCUUGAUAAGGGAGAACUUAUGAACUCUAUUUUAAAAGCAAAGGGUUUGCAAGGUAGACUGGCAGUGCAUGAACAUUCCAGUUCUCAAACCACAACCUCUGUAGAUUUUGAUAAUAGAAUCAAGGAAAUUAGAGAAAUGGCCAGGAAAGCCCAUGAAAAUGAGGGUAUGGAAAAUUCCCUGGCUGAGCAGAUUGAUGAAAAACGUGAAACUGAGGAUGAGAAACUGUCUAAUGAGAUUGAAAUGGUCGGAAGGCAAAGAGUAGGGGGUGCGGGAUUUCUAAUUGAUAUUUCAGAUACCAAAUUGGAAGAAGGAAGAGUUAUAGCUACAUCUACAGAUGAACCAAAGGGUGAUGAUACCAAAAUUUUCAGUAAGGUAGGAAAUAAUGGGAAUGAGAAUGUGCCAGUCUCCAGUAUUGCGAGUAUAGAAAUUUCAAAGGAUCAGCAAAGCAUUGAACAAGAUUUGAUGGAUGACGGCAGUAAUUUCCCAGCUGUGAUCAGAAAAGAAAUCCUGCCAUCUAAUGCUACAGACGGUGAAUUAUGCAUCUCAAAGAGUAAGCCCAAAAGAAUGAAACGAAGAGUCAUCCGAUCAGUUGAAGAAGCUAGGGAAUUCCUUGUCAACAAACGUGACAAGCAAGGGGACAUCGACAAAACUGAAGUUAAUGAUGUUCAAAAUAUUUCAGGGUUAUUAAGUGCUAAACGACUCAGUAGCAAUACAGGCCAGAGAGUGAGCAAGGAUAGAAAAGUGUCUGACGUCAAGUCUGAAAUAUCAGAAUAUGAAACAGCCAGAAAAUCUUUUACUCCUAAGGACGAGUCAAUUCCAUCGGAAGAUUUUUAUUCUGGUGAUCGUGACAAAGGGUGUGGAGAAGUUUCUAUAUCUGUCUCUACUGACUCUGAAGUUUGUAUUCCGAAGGAGAACGAAUCUGGUACACCCAGAAGACAUGAUUCCAGAGAUGCUGUUGAAGGAUGUGAAGGGGAUGAUAAACCAAAACCCCCUACCAGUUUAAGUCAUGAAAUCAAUGGGAGCAAGGAACGUACAAGACAUCCUGUAAAAGCAGAAAACUGGAUAGAGAAAAAUUUUCAUGAAGUUGAGCCAAUAUUGAAAAAGAUUGGGGACGGCUUCAGGGAGAAUUACAUGGUUGCAAGAGAAAGAGCAAAUGAACCCUUAGACAUGGAUCUGGGACAGCUUAUCUCCAAUGCAAAUGAUGGUGAACUUGAAUGGAUGAAUGAUGAAAAUCUUAGAGAAAUUGUUUUUCAGGUUCGAGAAAAUGAGUUAAUGGGGAAGGAUCCCUUCCAUUUGAUAGCUGAUGAAGAUAAACUUGCAUUCUUCAAAGGCCUUGAAAAGAAAGUUGAGAAGGAUAAUGAAAAGCUAUCGCACCUGCACAAUUGGCUACAUUCAAACAUUGAGAAUCUUGACUACGGAGCAGAUGGUAUUAGCUUGUAUGAUCCACCAGAAAAGAUUAUACCGCGCUGGAAAGGACCUCCAUUAGAAAAGAAUCCUGAGUUCCUCAAUAACUUCGAAGAGCAGCGGAAGGCAAUUUUUGCUGGGAAAACUGAUCGAUCCUAUCCCGCGAAGAAGGAUGAACAGAACUUCCUUCAGAAAUCAACAGAAUCCAUAGGGAAUGGGAAUGUGGCCAGAAAUUCAGCCAACCAAGCUUUUGUAAAAGGAGUGCAUGAUAGGGAUCCAAAAGGUUCGAAAACAGUUAUAGAGGGCAGUGAUGGCACUGUUAGAUCUGGGAAAAAAUCUGGUAAGGAGUAUUGGCAACACACCAAGAAAUGGUCCCGUGGGUUUUUGGAAAGUUAUAAUGCAGAGACAGAUCCAGAAGUCAAGUCCAGUAUGAAGGAAAUGGGGAAGGAUUUGGAUAGAUGGAUCACUGAAGAAGAAAUACAGGAAUCAGCUGAUCUGAUGUCCAAACUACCUGAGAGAAAUAAAGAAUUCAUGGAAAAGAAACUCAACAAACUCAAAAGAGAAAUGGAAUUGUUUGGACCCCAAGCUGUGGUGAGUAAAUACCGUGAGUAUGCAGAUGACAAGGAACAAGAUUACUUGUGGUGGUUAGAUCUUCCUCAUGUACUGUGCAUUGAGUUAUACACAACUGAGAACGAAGAACAGAAAAUAGGAUUUUAUUCAUUGGAGAUGGCAGCAGAUCUUGAAUUGGAGCCAAAACCAUAUCACGUGAUUGCUUUUGAGGAUGCUGGUGAUUGUAAAAACCUUUGUUACAUCAUUCAGGCUCAUAUGGAUAUGCUUGGGAAUGGCCAUGCUUUUGUUGUUGCACGCCCGCCUAAGGAUGCUUUUCGGGAAGCCAAAGCCAAUGGUUUCGGUGUAACUGUCAUCAGGAAAGGGGAGCUACCGCUUAACAUAGACCAAACACUUGAAGAGGUGGAGGAGCAGGUAACUGAGAUUGGGAGCAAGAUAUACCAUGAUAAGAUUACACAGGAGCGCUCUGUGGAUACAAGCGCAAUAAUGAAGGGUGUUUUCGGUGUGGAAAACACUACUAGGAGAAACGAUCAAAGCGGAAGUUGAAGAAUACAAGCCGGAAGGGAAGGUGAUGCCUAGAUCUGAUAUUCCAGUGAGGAGAAACAACAGUCUAAAAUGUCCGCGGAUUGAGCAGAGUGCUUGCUCUCUCUGUGGCAAGAAGGUGCUGACAAAGUCGGAUCUACGGAUAAUUACUAGUUGAAUUCUUACUGCCCCUUCCUGUAGGUUGCUCUCAAUCUUCUUCUGAUCGACUUUGCUGCUUCUCAUGUGCUGUAUGCAUGACUUAGACCAUUCCCCUCAAAGCCAGCAUACCAGUUUGUCAAAUUCUUCAUGGCCAAGAGGUCUGCCCUUUAUGGUAUCAAGCAAUACUUCACUACAAGUUCGUUCAACACCAUGAAUAUAUAUAUAUAGUUGUUGAGGAAUAUAUUUAUUGAACCAGAUACACAUUUUUUACUCAUAUUGCAUACGCGUUUUCAUGGGGCUUGACUAUCAAUGUGGUCCAUGAAGAACAAAUUCAUGUCGACUUGUAGUCUAGAGCGGACAACAUUUCAAUGUGAUUGGGCUGAAAAUUUCAACAUACUGGAAGCACAACAACUAAUGGGUUUAAAUUAA